rnacentral:misc_RNA from 1 species
AUUCAUUUAGUUGCUUCUGACUAUAGGAGUCUGCAAAAAGAAGAUUCUUUUGGAAAGGAGAAAGCAUAUAGAAAAUUCAAGAAAGAAGGCAGUUGAAAUUCUCGUUUGUGUGAUUAUUGAGUUUAAGGUUGUAUCCCUAGCUUUAAAAACAUGAUCAGUUGUGCAGAUGAGAAUAUUUUGUGUUUGGGAAAAUUUUAUAACAUGGUGUUUGUAUUCUUUUAGAAGUUUU